GUGCUCACUCCAGUAGCACAUAUAUUAAAACAAUACAGAAAAAAUUAGUAUGGUCCUUGUGCAAAGAUGACACACAAAUUGUGAGAAGAAAACUUAUUAAAA